rnacentral:rRNA from 1 species
GACGAACGCUGGCGGCGUGCUUAACACAUGCAAGUCGAACGGAAAGGCCCUGCUUGCAGGGUACUCGAGUGGCGAACGGGUGAGUAACACGUGGGUGAUCUGCCCUGCACUUCGGGAUAAGCCUGGGAAACUGGGUCUAAUACCGGAUAGGAGCCAUUUUUAGUGUGAUGGUUGGAAAGUUUUUUCGGUGUAGGAUGAGCUCGCGGCCUAUCAGCUUGUUGGUGGGGUAAUGGCCUACCAAGGCGGCGACGGGUAGCCGGCCUGAGAGGGUGGACGGCCACAUUGGGACUGAGAUACGGCCCAGACUCCUACGGGAGGCAGCAGUGGGGAAUAUUGCACAAUGGGCGCAAGCCUGAUGCAGCGACGCCGCGGGGGGGAUGACGGGCUUCGGGUUGUAAACUCCUUUCGCUAGGGACGAAGCUUUUUGUGACGGUACCUAGAUAAGAAGCACCGGCUAACUACGUG